CGGGCUGGUUCACUACAUCCUGUGAAGGUGAGAAGGGAAAGAACUGAGGUUGUUGGAGGGUUGCCAGGAUCUUCAUAGUUCUGGUUAUUCACUUCUUGGCUAGUGCUCAAGUUUUUGGUUUGGGGACCAUUGGGAAUUUUGAAGCCUAGGAGCCAUCUACACCAGUGAGGACUAACUCACCUGAUCCAGGGGAACCUGCCUGGUAUAAUUUUUGGAAGAUAAGAGGUGAAACAGCAUGACUUUUCCCAUCAGCCCUGCUGAGACCAUCUGAGAUGAACUGAUCACCAGUCAAGUCCCAGCUGAACUCAGGACCACAACAGAGCCUGAGACUCCAGAUGUGAAGAAACUCAGUCUCCUGAAUUUGAGGGGAAAUAAAAAGGAUUUUAGAGAUCUUCUUUGAAGUUAAAGACUUGCAUUACAGAUCCGGCCCUGACACUAAUAAGGUUGUUGUUACCUGACCUUGAAGAAGAGACCUUCUGUAGAAGACGCCGAUGUGUCCCAGCAGUGCCCUGUUUUCUCAUCACCAGAGCUAAAUGCUCUAGGGGUCCUCCCAAUAAGGGCUCUAUGCAUCUUUUUAUUGUGGCAUACUGACUAUUUGGGCAUUUUGGUAGCCUUUGUUGGACCCCAAUUCAUGUGGUUGCCAGGUUCUGCCAUGUGCAGAGGCUGCCAGCCACUGGAUGUCAGGAUUGGGUCAUGAAGCGACUGACUUAGAAACUCUGGGGUGGCCCAGGGCUGCUAUUGUGCUCCUGCUUGGUGAAGCCAGGAUCCAAGAGACUUGGGUCUGUGUUUCCUACCACUGGUGUUUAGUUGCAAUGCCCAGGAAUCUCGGAGAAGGUGUCAGAUCACUGGUGGGUGAGGCUGGUUCCUUACACAUUGGAUUAGAGGUCAAGAGUGCCUGGAAGCUUGUGUUGGCCUUCUAGUGAGUGGGGCUAAGAACUUUCCCAGGGAAGAGUCUGGCCUCCUGGUAGGUGGGCCAGGACCACAGACUGCAGUGCUGCUUUCUUUUGGCUGGUGUCUGCCCACUGGUGGGUUGAGCUGGGUGCUAAAGUCUCUGACUAUGGAGCCUUUAGGGUUUCAGGGUUAAUGUCUAUAUAUUGAACAUGCGCUAGAGUGUCUAGUGUGCAGAGCUGUGUCCUGGGGCGAUGGUAGGCUCAUGGGACCUUAAGGCAGCUGAUGGAUGUGGCCAUGUCCUUUCCCAGUUAGUUGCUUGGACUGAGGCAUCCAGCUCUGGUAUCUGCAGACUUUGGGAGCAGGACAGGCUAGGUCCUGGAGCUAAUGAAAGGAGCUCAAGGAAAAACUCCAAAUGGUAUUCCCAAACAGGUAUUUGCAAGAAGAUUGAAGAGGUCUUUUUAUGCCUCCUCUGUUACAAAUUAUUUUGUUAGAUUUACCAUCAAAGAGAUAAAUAACACAGUAUAUUUUUUCUUCGAUUACAUAUUUCCUAUUUUUAUGUUGUAGAUACACUAAUGAAAAAAGAAAGGCAGGAGGAAGGCCACAGGAAGGAGGAGGAUAAUCAAAGGUCCUGGAUAAUGAUAUAUAAACUAAAUUAUUGGCUUCUGGCAUAAUUGAGAUUUAAUUGUUUUGCUUUACUUCAACCUGAACUUUGUAUCCAAAUUAUUUCCCCAGGAUACCAGCUGAAUGAAAAAAAAAAUACCCAACUAAAAUAGUAAAUUUUUCAUAACUGAAUUACUUCAUCAUUCUUCAAAUGAUAUAUUAGGUGCUCACCACAAAGCCUAUUCCUCAGGAAUGUUUUCAAUAUUAUUAUUUCCCCCAAAAAGCAGUUUGAGAGAAUCUUUGAAUAUGACAAAAUCUAUCAUCCUUCAGUGAGUCAGAAAAUGUAUCAGUAGAUUAUCAUUAAAAUACAAAUAAAAACUCUAGAAAAAAAAAU